UUGGUCUUCUUCCUCCUCCGCUUCG
rnacentral:sRNA from 1 species